rnacentral:rRNA from 1 species
UACGAGGGGGGCGAGCGUUGUUCGGAAUUAUUGGGCGUAAAGGGCGCGUAGGCGGUGCGGUAAGUCACCUGUGAAACCUCUGGGCUUAACUCAGAGCCUGCAGGCGAAACUGCCCGUGCUGGGAGUGUGGGAGAGGUGCGUGGAAUUCCCGGUGUAGCGGUGAAAUGCGUAGAGAUCGGGAAGAACACCGGUGGCGAAGGCGGUUCUCUGGGCCUUACCUGACGCUGAGGAGCGAAAGCGUGGGGAGCGAACAGG